rnacentral:rRNA from 1 species
UACGAAGGGGGCUAGCGUUGCUCGGAAUCACUGGGCGUAAAGUGUGCGUAGGCGGGUCUUUAAGUCAGGGGUGAAAUCCUGGAGCUCAACUCCAGAACUGCCUUUGAUACUGAAGAUCUUGAGUGCGGGAGAGGUGAGUGGAACUGCGAGUGUAGAGGUGAAAUUCGUAGAUAUUCGCAAGAACACCAGUGGCGAAGGCGGCUCACUGGCCCGAUACUGACGCUGAGGCACGAAAGCGUGGGGAGCAAACAGG